rnacentral:rRNA from 1 species
GUACACGCUGUGACUAGCAUAUCAAUAAGCGGAGGAAAAGAAACUAACAAGGAUUCCCCUAGUAACGGCGAGUGAAGCGGGAAGAGCUCAAAUUUGAAAUCUUAAAGGGUUUCCCUUUACGAAUUGUAGUUUAAAGAAGUGUUUUCUGUUGAGGUUUUGGUAAAAGUUCUUUGGAAUAGGACAUCAUAGAGGGUGAGAAUCCCGUAUUUGACCUUUACUUUCAACCUUGUGAUACACUUUCAAAGAGUCGGAUUGUUUGGGAAUGCAGUCCAAAAUGGGUGGUAAAUUUCAUCUAAAGCUAAAUAUUGGCGAGUAGACCGAUAGCGAACAAGUACCGUGAGGGAAAGAUGAAAAGAACUUUGAAAAGAGAGUUAAACAGUACGUGAAAUUGUCAAAAGGGAAGCGUUUGACACCAGUGUUGUUUUUCUGAAAAUCAAUUAAAGAACUGUUUAUGCUAAGCUGUUUAGACUUUAUCAGCUAUCUGUUUAGUUUUGAGCUUUUCUUUAAUGCACUUUUCAGUUAACAAGUCAACAUCAAUUUCUUUUGCUGUAAAAAAGCUUGAGGAAGGUGGCUUGAGAUUCGUCUUAAGUGUUUAUAGCCUCUUGCCUAUGCAGUCGGAGAGAUUGAGGUCUGCAGCGUAGAUCCUUCGGGGCUAAAUGCAUUUGUGCUAAGUUAUAGCAUUUUAUAGACAACUUGUUGACUAUGAUUUGUCUUGUAGCUUACUCGCUUAUGUUAUUUUACCUACGCUUAGGAUGUUGACUGAUAUGUAGUCGUA